rnacentral:rRNA from 1 species
UCCUUAGAUGUUCUGGGCCGCACGCGCGCUACACUGAUGCAUUCAACGAGCCUAUCCUUGACCGACAGGUCCGGGUAAUCUUUGAAUCUGCAUCGUGACGGGGAUAGAUUAUUGCAAUUAUUAAUCUUCAACGAGGAAUGCCUAGUAGGCGCAAGUCAUCAGCUUGCGUCGAUUACGUCCCUGCCCUUUGUACACACCGCCCGUCGCUCCUACCGAUUUCGAGUGGUCCGGUGAAUCUUUCGGACUGCGCGCGGCCUUGAGUCGUGUCGCGGAAAGUCAGGUAAACCUUAUCACUUAGAGGAAGGAGAAGUCGUAACA